AUUGAACGCUGGCGGCAUGCUUUACACAUGCAAGUCGAACGGCAGCGGGGACGUCGGUCCGCCGGCGAGUGGCGAACGGGUGAGUAAUGCAUCGGAACGUGCCUAUCAGUGGGGGAUAACGCUUCGAAAGGAGUGCUAAUACCGCAUAUUCUCCGAGGAGGAAAGCAGGGGACCUUCGGGCCUUGCGCUGAUAGAGCGGCCGAUGUCGGAUUAGCUAGUUGGUGAGGUAAAGGCUCACCAAGGCGACGAUCCGUAGCGGGUCUGAGAGGAUGAGCUGCGACACUGGGACUGGGACACGGCCCAGACUCCUACGGGAGGCGGCAGGGGGGAAUAUUGGACAAUGGGCGCAAGCCUGAUCCAGCCAUGGCGCGUGUGUGAAGAAGGCCUUCGGGUUGUAAAGCACUUUCAGUAGGGAGGAAGGAUGUUGUGUUAAUAGCACAGCAUUUUGACGUUACCUACAGAAGAAGCACCGGCUAACUCUGUGCCAGCAGCCGCAGUAAGAC
rnacentral:rRNA from 1 species